ensembl:lncRNA
GUGUGCCGUGCAGCAGCACCGUGCAGCGAUGCAGCGCGGAGCCGCGUGUGCUCCUGUCGCCCGGCUGCUUUGCUGCUCGGCUGCGUGCAUCGCAGCAGGGCUCAGCGGGAAGGGCUCCGGCAGGCUAUAUUUAGCAGCAACAACAAAACAGGCAGCCGGAUCAGCUGACUGGGCGCAGAGAGCACGGGUUAGUUGUAGGCAGCACGUAUCCUGCGCGGAAAGCAGGGCGAGAGAGAGGGAGAGAGAGCAGGGCACGGAGCUGGGAGGUACCCCAUCACCCGCAGGGGCUGCGGCUCAGCCAUGGCUCCCCGGAUAAGAUUGAGUGUUUCAAAGCCUCUCCCAACCAUCUGCGAAACCCACGAGGAAGCAAUGGAAGACCUAACCAGCAACCCAAAGCACACUGCAAACACUUCAACCAACCCAGACUUGUACUCUAGCGAUGACUACAUUCAAUCUAUCUGCCACCUUGCCAGGCCCACCUUCCCAGGCAUUCCGGAAAGCAGCCAUAGGGUUCGGAACAGAAGAAUCCUGCAGACCCUGGAAGCCAUGUCAUGGUCCCCAUCCCAGAAAGAAAUGUCAGCAUGUAAAUUGACCAAUUUCAUCUCAAAUGUGAUGCCACUGGGAAAAGCUACAUCUGCUCCUGAUGAUGCAGAAGCCGACUUCUGGUCUAGAGAGGACCCCCUGGCACAGAUCUACAGGCGCACAGGAAACCUCUGCUCCUCCAAGGGUUUGUGGAGCAAAAGCUCCAGCACUGACUCCUCACAGUGCAUCUCCUCCAGCCACCUGGACUCCCUUCAUCCCCCAGCCAUGAAAGAAGAAGCCCCAGGAAAACCACAUUUCCCACGGAUGUUCAGUUUUCCAAGGUUUCCCUCUCCAAGGCCAAUGCAGAAAGAAACGCUCUGCUCAGAGCUGAGGUGUCUCAGAAGGGAUGAGGGAGCGGUUGUAGGGAGCAAUCACAGUCAAAAGGAAGAUGCUCCCAGGUUUAUUAACACUGAAGAGCUAUUGCUGUGCUCAGGCAGAGGGAAGCUACUAGGAAAUCGGCUCUUGCGCUGCUCUGUAAGGAGGCAGAGUUUGUUUGAGGCAGUGGGUGCUGACGAAAAAGAAGGGAGAGAAACUUCUCACUGUGACAAAAACGCAGUGGGUGAUGUUCCCAGUAAACAGAGAUACUCUGAGUGCUUCCAGGCAGCUAAAAAAGCUGUGAUCCAUAAUUGGAUUUCAGAGCAUAGAUGCAUGUGGAAAGAAGCAAAGAUAAAGGCUUGUUUGCUCCCAGCCAUUGCUGAAGUGUGAAAAAGUAUCUGUUCCAAAUAAUGUUGUUUGCAAGAAAUAAACACCCUGUGCUCUAGAAGCUCUCCCUGGAGUCCUUAUGUGGAAAACAUGGCUUGAAUGUGCAUGCAAGUCAGAAAACCUUUUGUGAUCCAUCUUACCCCUCAUCAGUGGGCAAAUGGACAACUUGGAGUCCAGUCCUCUGAGAAAGCAGCAAUUAAUUCUCAUUUUGGAAAGACAACGGUUCAUAAAGCAUUGCCCCACACCUAUUGCCUUGAACUGCCCUGAGCAUGGAGGAAAUUGAAGAGCCAUCUGUCUUGAAGAAGUAAUCUGAAGGAAAAAGAAACAACAACCCACACACCUACUGCCAUUUCACAGCAGAUGCCAAGCAGCCAGAUGUUUCACACGCUUGGGUACAGUUAUUCUGAAAGGAACAUUCUGAAUGGUGCUUGGACAGUACUAAAUAUGCCCUCACUGACAUAUGCAUUCACUGAGACACACAGCAUAGAUCACUGCAUCAACACCAGAAUACCACUGGGUCAGUCAUCUGGUAGUGCUUUCAUGUAAAGGAAUACUUUUAAUAGCUGUAAGAAGCCUGUGAUGAGGAUGUGUUAGAGGACAACAUGAAAAAUACUGAAACUGCUCUGGGUGGGACUUUUCCCCUUCCUUAGCACUGCAAAAGUUUAUGACUUUCAUGUCACAAUCUAACCUUUUUGGGGAUGAGUGCCCUGGGUGAGCAUUGCUAACGCUGGUCUGGUGCUGCAAGAAAUCAGGGUCCCAUCGGUGUCUGCACUGCUGUCUGUGCUGGGUGGGAGCACAGCUGGGAGCUGAGAAAGCUCUGUGCACGUAUGGAUUGUGUCUGUGUUUCCCUUCAUCUGUGUGCUUCUCUAGUUUCCCCCACCUGGCCAUGCUAACCACACUGACUUUUCUAUGCCUGGUGCUGUGAGACCGAAACAUGAAGGAAAAAAAAACAUCACAAGAAGUCCCCAGGACAGCCCCUUUGCUGCUCAUGCUGUGUGGGAUGUCUGCAGGAGGAGCAGUGCUGCUGUGGGAUCCAGGUCAUCCCCUAACCGCCUCACUGAGACAACUUUGUCUCCUGAAGCCUUCACACACUGUCACAGUCCCACAGUCACAGCGCACAGCACUGCAAGAGGAGCGGGUGAGAGAACUGCUAAGUAAUGCCAGUGCAGUUAUUGCUGCCACUGCCACAAAUCAAUCCUUUGGCACGGAGCAGACAUGAGGACUGGGCUGUUUGCUCAACUGCAGCCAGGACGGGAAAUACCACCGCAAAGCUGCCAUUAUAGAAGUGCUCACAGGUGGCUUCUGAAACACCCCUGAGUAGAUUAAAUCAGACUGCAACUUCUGCCCGGUACCAACACAAGUGUAAAUAUACUCAAGGAUCAAAAGACUAACCACACAGCAAGAACAAAGGCGAAGGCGGCUGCAGCUUUUUUAGGGUUUACAGAGAGCCUGAGCUGAACAAGGCCACACGGGCUCUGCCUCCCCCUCUUCUGCCCUUCCCUCUUGGGUUUGUAUAGGGAUGGAGGACAUGUUUGCCCUCAUUGCUAUGCGGACAUUUCGGUUUCUGUCCAUGUUUAAGACACUAAUGCCUAGCAAGUUUUGUGCCAACUGCAUGUAUCACCGUGUUUGACCAAGAAAGCAAAUAAAACCCUUACACCAAGCAGCAUUCUCUGUUCUUGCAGGCCCAUGAGUGAACCUCCAGGUGCAGGGCAGGCUGUGACCAAUGGCUCAGGGCUCACUACACAAACACCUGCUCAUUGCACAGCAGGCCCCAAGCACAGGAGCAAUGCCUUGUAACGCCAUUCUGCCUGCCCAGAUCCAGGCCCAGGCAUUAGGCCUGCAUCAAACUGGUGAUGCUGUGCAUUCUCA